GACGAACGCUGGCGGCGUGCUUAACACAUGCAAGUCGAACGGAAAGGCCCUGCUUUUGUGGGGUGCUCGAGUGGCGAACGGGUGAGUAACACGUGAGUAACCUGCCCUUGACUUUGGGAUAACUUCAGGAAACUGGGGCUAAUACCGGAUAGGAGCUCCUGCUGCAUGGUGGGGGUUGGAAAGUUUCGGCGGUUGGGGAUGGACUCGCGGCUUAUCAGCUUGUUGGUGGGGUAGUGGCUUACCAAGGCUUUGACGGGUAGCCGGCCUGAGAGGGUGACCGGCCACAUUGGGACUGAGAUACGGCCCAGACUCCUACGGGAGGCAGCAGUGGGGAAUAUUGCACAAUGGGCGGAAGCCUGAUGCAGCAACGCCGCGUGCGGGAUGACGGCCCUCGGGUUGUAAACCGCUUUAGCCUGUGACGAAGCGUGAGUGACGGUAAUGGGUAAAGAAGCACCGGCUAACUACGUG
rnacentral:rRNA from 1 species